CAUCAAGCAAUGACCCAACAGAACCAUAAAGGGGACUGCCACUGAUUGCCUUUAUUGUCUUGACAUCCUGUAUUGCGGCAGGUGUUGUGUAUGCGUCACAAUGUGCAUUGUGUCUUGGGCCACCAGGUUGCAGGGGCUCACCCCCUACCUGCUCAGUCAUUGGUUCAUGCUGUGAAGGGGUGGAGUGUAGUGGAAUUCCAGGGUCACAGCCUGAACCAGUGGGUGGGCUACAUGAGUGUGUGGAUGCCUGGAGUGGGAGGGUCGGUGGUCUGGAGCCACCCCUUCUGUCUCUGCAAUACUUUCUGUGCAGUCUGAGUCUGCGUGGGUCCCCCUCUUUGCCCUGCCCUUCUCUCCAGCGGCGCGCCGGUACAAACGGGGGAGGGUCAUAUUCCUCAGCUCGUUUCUCUCCACACUGUUACCGGGAGGGUCUACCGCUAAGGAGAAAGAGAAUUUGCCUUCAGCUCUUAAGAGGAACCAUGAGAAUGAGCACCGAGGAGGACCAGUGAAGAAAUUCCAGUAAAGACUGAUUGUCCUGGAGUAAACCUACAGAAAUUCCAGAGCAGCCAUCAGGAUUAUUGUGAGUCAAGAUCAUGGUAACUGAGGGCCAAGGGACCCACAGAGUGCUGGCAAACACUACUCCAUCUCAGGACAAUACCUGUAUGCAGAAUUUGACUCAAGAUCAUAAAAAAUAAUGGACUAGACUCUUUUAACAGACAUGAAUUUAAAUAAAAAACAUCACCAAGAUAGCUGCUUAAAGUCUGAAAAAGGGCUCUGGAAAAGCCACAGCAGUGAUUAUUUUCAAAGGUAUUAUAAUGGAUGGAGUUCUGAAAACCUAAACACUUCCGUGUGUCAGUGUUUGUGUUCUUCCAAAUCAUAUCAGUGAAUGUAAUGUAUAUAAAAUCAGAGACAUAGACUACGACUGUAAUUCAGAUAAUUGGUUGAGGAAGAAAAAGUACAAAUCAUCAUGAAAUGUAUUUCUUUCUCUGCUGUUGACAAGUGAUUGCCAUUAACUGCACAUGCAAACUCCAGACCAGAGAACUCCAUAAGGAUUUCCAAGCACUGCACACUGCCAAAACAUCUCACUGAUUUCUUAGGAAACUUAUUGGUGCCUCCACGGGAAAAAAAA